GUUGCUAUCCGCUAUCUUGGAGGGCAUGUUACUAAAACACUGACGGUAAUCUUCUUCUUACCUCAACUCCUUGCAAUUCACUGAUGGUUUAGAGCUUAAAGCAACAACUUGUUUCAAAAACAGAACUGAUUUCUAUUUCUGGCAACAUGAUGUUGAUUACAAGUCAAAGUAACCACAAAUGUUGCUAGCAACAUGUUGCCUAGUAUAUGGAGAGCUAGGCUGCUGGUCAGACAAAAUUGAAGAGCGUUGGAGACAGAUGGCUCAGUAAUAACAAAUUCUAUUAUUAUUAUUAUGAUUAAAGGACUUUACAGUACUAAUUAUACAGUAGAACAUUAAAUUGAGAGCA